rnacentral:rRNA from 1 species
UACGGAGGGUGCAAGCGUUAUCCGGAUUCACUGGGCUUAAAGGGUGCGUAGGCGGGUCAGCAAGUCCGUGGUGAAAUACUUUCGCUUAACGAAGGAACUGCCAUUGAUACUACCAGUCUUGAAUACAGUGGAGGUAGGCGGAAUGCGUCAUGUAGCGGUGAAAUGCUUAGAUAUGACGCAGAACACCAAUUGCGAAGGCAGCUUGCUACACUGUUAUUGACACUGAGGCACGAAAGCGUGGGGAUCAAACAGG